UAGAGAAGAUUGAAAAUAGAGUUGAUUUUGUCUUACCCAACUUUGAGUUCAAAAGAAUCUGAUGACUGCUAAGAAAGAAAACCAACGGGAAACUGAUGUAUAAUUUAUUUGGUACCUGGUACCCACAGGAAACAUCUGUUGUGAUUUUAUAAGCCUGCACAAAUUCAAAACAAGGAACGUCUGUAAAUGGCUUGAAGUCCUUUUUGGAUCAAGCAUGAGAAUUGAUCUUCUGAAUGACCCUAGUGAAAAUCCUAAAUGAUCUAUGAUUCAAUUAUAUAUCCUAUACUCAACUUACUAAGGCAUUUCCAGGAGAUGGUGUCUGGCAGCUCUUUCACUCACUCAGAAAUAAUCUCCCCAGUGUAUCAUGCAAGGAAGAGUAAAAUAAGAGUCCUUCAUCACUGGUAAUGCAUUCUUCAGUAAGCA